rnacentral:rRNA from 1 species
AUUGAACGCUAGCGGGAUGCUUUACACAUGCAAGUCGAACGGCAGCGCGGACUUCGGUCUGGCGGCGAGUGGCGAACGGGUGAGUAAUGUAUCGGAACGUGCCCAGUAGCGGGGGAUAACUACGCGAAAGCGUAGCUAAUACCGCAUACGCCCUACGGGGGAAAGCAGGGGAUCGUAAGACCUUGCACUAUUGGAUCAGCCUAUGUCGGAUUAGCUAGUUGGUGAGGUAACGGCUUACCAAGGCGACGAUCCGUAGCUGGUUUGAGAGGACGACCAGCCACACUGGGACUGAGACACGGUCCAGACUCCUACGGGAGGCAGCAGUGGGGAAUGUUGGACAAUGGGGGAAACCCUGAUCCAGCCAUCCCGCGUGUGCGAUGAAGGCCUUCGGGUUGUAAAGCACUUUUGGCAGGAAAGAAACGUAGCGGGCUAAUACCCCGUGGAACUGACGGUACCUGCAGAAUAAGCACCGGCUAACUACGUG